GGGUUCCAUCUUUCUCAAAUCCAUGGAUCAAGUGGGAUGGGGGGGCUUCUUUGCACUUCUUGAUUUACCUUUUCCUUUCACCACACCCCCAACUUAGGUUUGUGGCCUAAGUUGGCUAUUCAAACACACCACACAUCAUGAGGAUUAUUGGUGAAUUGAUAAAGAGGGGUUACAAUUGCAUAAGGUUUCUUCCAAGAAAAGGCUAAGGCUCAAAAAGGGAGUUCAAGCAAGGUUCACACACUGACAAGGUUGGCCACAAAAGAAGUAUAUUGUCAAUUUGUUUCACUCUUCAAAUUUUUGCCUAAGAUCACUUCAAGAGCUUGC
rnacentral:lncRNA from 1 species